AGCAUAUUAAUGAGGGGUGGAAAAGAAACUAACAAGGAUUUUCUUUGUAGCGGCGAGCGAAAAGAAAUCAGUUCAGCACUAAGUCACUUUGUCUUUAUGGCAAAUGUGAGAUGCAGUGUAUGGAAUGUUAAAUUUCUAGUAUGAGAAAUUAAUGAUUUAAGUCCUUCUUAAAUGAGGCCAUUUACCCACAGAGGGUGCCAGGCCCGUAUAACGUUAAUGAUUACUAGAUGACAUUUCCAAAGAGUCGUGUUGCUUGAUAGUGCAGCACUAAGUGGGUGGUAAACUCCAUCUAAAACUAAAUAUAGCCAUGAGACCGAUAGUAAACAAGUACCGUGAGGGAAAGUUGAAAAGAACUCUGAAUAGAGAGUUAAAUAGUACGUGAAACUGCUUAGAGGUUAAGCCCGAUGAACCUGAAUAUUCUUUAUGGAAAAUUCACCACUAUGAUUAUAUAAUAUAUAACCAUUAAUAUUAUAAUAGUGUGCAUUUUUUUCAUAAAGGACAUUGUGAUUUAUUAACUUUAAUUUAAAUUUAUCAUACGAUCAUUAUGCGUAAGUUUAUAACAAUGUUUCAAUUUGCUUGCAAUUUGAAUAUUGUAUAAAUGCUUUUGAUUUGAUAAAGUGUUGAUGGAUAUGCUAUAUGGUGCUUAAAUAUAUAUUUCAUUAUAUAUAUUUAGUAAUAGCAUAUUAAUCAUUGAUUUUUAUGUUUAUUAUUUAUGCACUGUAUGAUCAACAAUGCGAAAGAUUCAGGAGACCUUCGGGACCCGUCUUGAAACACGGACCAAGGAGUCUAACAUAUUUGCAAGUUAUUGGGCAUAAAAAACCUAAUAGCGCAAUUAACAUGACUUAAUUAUUAUAAUAAUAAUAAUAUGGGAUUAGUUUUUAGUCACUAUUUUUUUAUAUUUACUUAUAUAAAAUAUAUAGUCUAUUAAUUCAAUCCCGGGGCGUUCUAUUAGUUAUGUAUAAUAAUAUUAAUUAUUAUUUAUACCUCUAACUAGAGCGUACCUUGAGCAUAUAUGCUGUGACCCGAAAGAUGGUGAACUAUACUUGAUCAGGUUGAAGUCAGGGGAAACCCUGAUGGAAGACCGAAACAGUUCUGACGUGCAAAUCGAUUGUCAGAAUUGAGUAUAGGGGCGAAAGACCAAUCGAACCAUCUAGUAGCUGGUUCCCUCCGAAGUUUCCCUCAGGAUAGCUGGUGCAUUGAAAAAUUAUUUAAAAUAAUCUUAUCUGGUAAAGCGAAUGAUUAGAGGCCUUAGGGUCGAAACGACCUUAACCUAUUCUCAAACUUUAAAUGGGUAAGAACCUCACCUUUCUUGGUAUGAAGGUAGUGGUUGUGAUAUAAUGUGCCCAGUGGGCCACUUUUGGUAAGCAGAACUGGCGCUGUGGGAUGAACCAAACGUAAUGUUACGGUGCCCAAAUUAACAACUCAUACAGAUACCAUGAAAGGCGUUGGUUGCUUAAAACAGCAGGACGGUGGACAUGGAAGUCGUAAUCCGCUAAGGAGUGUGUAACAACUCACCUGCCGAAGCAACUAGCCCUUAAAAUGGAUGGCGCUUAAGUUGUAUACCUAUACAUUACCGCUAAAGUAGAUGGUUUAUUAUUAUAUAAUAUAUGUGUGUUAUAUGUAUGGUUCAAAUUCGUUUGGAUUUUUUAUAUAUAUAUAUGUAUAUCUAUAUAAAUUAAAUAUAUGUAAACUUUGAAACUUUAGUGAGUAGGAGGGUACAAUGGUGUGCAUGGAAGUGUUUGGCGUAAGCCUGCAUGGAGCCGCCAUUGGUACAGAUCUUGGUGGUAGUAGCAAAUAAUCGAAUGAGACCUUGGAGGACUGAAGUGGAGAAGGGUUUCGUGUGAACAGUGGUUGAUCACGAGUUAGUCGGUCCUAAGUUUAAGGCGAAAGUCGAAAAUUUUCAAGUUAUAAUAAUCACAGAACACAGAAGAACGGUAAAUAAGAUAUGAUUACCUAGUAUAUAUAUUGUUUUCUUUUUUUUUAGACACUUGAAUAAUUUUGAACGAAAGGGAAUACGGUUCCAAUUCCGUAACCUGUUGAGUAUCCGUUUGUUAUUAAAUAUGGGCCUUGUGCUCAUCCUGGCAACAGGAACGACCAUAAAGAAGCCGUCGAGAGAUAUCGGAAGAGUUUUCUUUUCUGUUUUAUAGUCGUACUGCCAUGGAAGUCUUUCGAAGAGAGAUAUGGUAGAUGGGCUAGAAGAGCAUGACAUUUACUGUUGUGUCGAUAUUUUCUCCUCGGACCUUGAAAAUUUAUGGUGGGGUCACGCAAACUUCUCAACAGGCCGUACCAAUAUCCGCAGCAGGUCUCCAAGGUGAAGAGCCUCUAGUCGAUAGAAUAAUGUAGGUA
rnacentral:rRNA from 1 species